UAGACCAAGGUGGACGGGAGACCCCUCGUUAAGGAACUCGGCAAAUUACCACCGUAACUUCGGGAGAAGGUGGGCCCCGGUACCGUGAUGGUUCCUCGCGAACCGGAGCGGGAGGGGGUUGCAGUGAAGCGGCCCAGGCGACUGUUUACCAAAAACACAGGUCUCUGCGAACGGGAAACCGGACGUAUAGGGGCUGAUGCCUGCCCAGUGCCGGAAGGUUAAGGGGAGGGGUUCACGCUCUGAACCGAAGCCCCGGUAAAACGGCGGCCGUAACUAUAACGGUCCUAAGGUAGCGAAAUUCCUUGUCGGGUAAGUUCCGACCCGCACGAAAGGCAUAACGAUCUGGGCGCUGUCUCAACGAGGGACCCGGUGAAAUUGAACUGUCCGUGAAGAUGCGGACAACCCGCGGCAGGACAAAAAGACCCCGUGGAGCUUUACUCCAGCUUGCCAUCGGGCGUAGAUCGGGCUUGUGUAGGAUAGGUGGGAGCCAAUGAACCCGGGACGCCAGUCCCGGAGGAGGCGGCGGUGAAAUACCACUCUGGCCAGGUCGGCGCUCUCACCUGCGGCCGUUAUCCGGCGCGGGGACAGUGGCUGGCGGGGAGUUUGACUGGGGCGGUCGCCUCCUAAACAGUAACGGAGGCGCCCAAUGGUCCCCUCAGGCCGGAUGGAAAUCGGCCGGAGCGUGCACUGGCAGCAAGGGGGCUUGACUGCGAGGGUGACCACCCGAGCAGGGACGAAAGUCGGGCAGAGUGAUCCCACGGUCCCGCGUGGAAGGGCCGUGGCGUAACGGAUAAAAGCUACCCCGGGGAUAACAGGCUGAUGUUGCCCAAGAGUCCAUAUCGACGGCAGCGUUUGGCACCUCGAUGUCGGCUCGUCUCAUCCUGGGGCUGGAGGCGGUCCCAAGGGUUGGGCUGUUCGCCCAUGAAAGAGGUACGCGAGCUGGGUUCAGAACGUCGUGAGACAGUUCGGUCUCUAUCCGCCGUGGGCGCAUAGAAGGUUGCGGGGGGCUGGCCCUAGUACGAGAGGACCGGGCUGGACAGACCGCUGGUGUGCCAGUUGUCGGACAUCCGGCAGCGCUGGGUAGCUACGUCUGGCAGGGAUAACCGCUGACAGCAUCUAAGUGGGAAGCCCACCCCAAGAUGAGCCUUCUCAUCAUUACAGAGUAAGACCCCCGGAAGACGACCGGGUUAAGAGGCGGCCGGUGGACAGCGGGUAACCGACUGGAGCCAAGCCGUCCUCAUGGUCGAGGGCGGUUCAAA
rnacentral:rRNA from 1 species